rnacentral:rRNA from 1 species
AGAGUUUGAUCCUGGCUCAGGAUGAACGCUAGCGGCAGGCUUAACACAUGCAAGUCGAGGGGUAACAGGAGUAGCAAUACUUGCUGACGACCGGCGCACGGGUGAGUAACGCGUAUGCAACCUACCUCUAACUGAGGAAUAGCCCGGAGAAAUCCGGAUUAAUACUUCAUAAUAUUUCGAAUUCGCAUGUUUUCGAAAUUAAAGCUUUGGCGGUUAGAGAUGGGCAUGCGUGACAUUAGUUAGUUGGUGAGGUAGCGGCUCACCAAGACUGCGAUGUCUAGGGGGUCUGAGAGGAUGGUCCCCCACACUGGUACUGAGACACGGACCAGACUCCUACGGGAGGCAGCAGUGAGGAAUAUUGGGCAAUGGACGCAAGUCUGACCCAGCCAUGCCGCGUGCAGGAUGACUGCCCUAUGGGUUGUAAACUGCUUUUAUUUGGGAAGAAACCCCUGCUCGUGAGCGGGGCUGACGGUACCAAAAGAAUAAGCAUCGGCUAACUCCGUGCCAGCAGCCGCGGUAAUACGGAGGAUGCAAGCGUUAUCCGGAUUUAUUGGGUUUAAAGGGUGCGCAGGCGGGAAAUUAAGUCAGUGGUGAAAUCCUGCAGCUUAACUGUAGAAUUGCCAUUGAAACUGAUUUUCUUGAGUACAGUUGAGGUGGGCGGAAUGUGUAACGUAGCGGUGAAAUGCUUAGAUAUUACACAGAACACCGAUUGCGUAGGCAGCUCACUAAACUGUUACUGACGCUCAGGCACGAAAGCGUGGGGAGCGAACAGGAUUAGAUACCCUGGUAGUCCACGCCGUAAACUAUGAUCACUCGUUGUUGGCAAUAAACAGUCAGCGACUAAGCUAAAGCAAUAAGUGAUCCACCUGGGGAGUACGGUCGCAAGAUUGAAACUCAAAGGAAUUGACGGGGGCCCGCACAAGCGGAGGAACAUGUGGUUUAAUUCGAUGAUACGCGAGGAACCUUACCUGGGCUUAAAUGCAGAACGAUUUCCGCCGAAAGGUGGUUUCCUUCGGGCGUUUUGCAAGGUGCUGCAUGGUUGUCGUCAGCUCGUGCCGUGAGGUGUCGGGUUAAGUCCCAUAACGAGCGCAACCCCCAUCGUUAGUUGCCAUCGGGUAAUGCCGGGGACUCUAACGAAACUGCCGGUGUAGACCGUGAGGAAGGUGGGGAUGACGUCAAAUCAGCACGGCCCUUAUGUCCAGGGCUACACACGUGUUACAAUGGCCAGUACAAAGGGCAGCUACCUGGUGACAGGAUGCUAAUCUCUAAAACUGGUCUCAGUUCGGAUCGAAGUCUGCAACUCGACUUCGUGAAGGUGGAUUCGCUAGUAAUCGCGCAUCAGCAAUGGCGUGGUGAAUACGUUCCCGGGCCUUGUACACACCGCCCGUCAAGCCAUGGAAGCUGGGGGUGCCUGAAGUCCGUAACCGUAAGGAGCGGCUUAGGGUAAAACUAGUGACUGGGGCUAAGUCGUGACAAGGUA